GGGGCUGUAGCUCAGUUGGUUAGAGCGCUUGGUUGUCAACCAAGAGGUCGAGGGUCCGAGUCCCUUCAGCCUCG
rfam:Candidatus Woesebacteria bacterium GWA1_42_12 gwa1_scaffold_7912, whole genome shotgun sequence.